GACGAACGCUGGCGGCGUGCUUAACACAUGCAAGUCGAACGGAAAGGCCCUGCGUUUGUGGGGUGCUCGAGUGGCGAACGGGGGAGUAACACGUGAGUAACCUGCCCUUGACUUUGGGAUAACUUCAGGAAACUGGGGCUAAUACCGUAUAGGAGCUCCUGCUGCAUGGUGGGGGGUGGAAAGUUUCGGCGGUUGGGGAUGGACGCGCGGCUUAUCAGCUUGUUGGUGGGGUAGUGGCUUACCAAGGCUUUGACGGGUAGCCGGCCUGAGAGGGUGACCGGCCACAUUGGGACUGAGAUACGGCCCAGACUCCUACGGGAGGCAACAGUGGGGAAUAUUGCACAAUGGGCGGAAGCCUGAUGCAGCAACGCCGCGUGCGGGAUGACGGCCUUCGGGUUGUAAACCGCUUUCGCCUGUGACGAAGCGUGAGUGACGGUAAUGGGUAAAGAAGCACCGGCUAACUACGUG
rnacentral:rRNA from 1 species